rnacentral:rRNA from 1 species
GAUGAACGCUAGCGGCAGGCUUAAUACAUGCAAGUCGAGGGGCAGCACGGUUAGCAAUAACUGGUGGCGACCGGCGCACGGGUGCGUAACACGUAUACAAUCUACCUUAAACAGGGGGAUAGCCUUUCGAAAGAGAGAUUAAUACCCCGUAAUAAAUUGAACGGCAUCGUUUGAUUUUGAAAGCUCCGGCGGUUUGAGAUGAGUAUGCGUCUGAUUAGCUAGUUGGUGAGGUAACGGCUCAUCAAGACGACGAUCAGUAGGGGAUCUGAGAGGACUAACCCCCCACACUGGUACUGAGACACGGACCAGACUCCUACGGGAGGCAGCAGUAAGGAAUAUUGGUCAAUGGAGGCAACUCUGAACCAGCCAUGCCGCGUGCAGGAUGACGGCCCUAUGGGUUGUAAACUGCUUUUAUACAAGAGAAAACCCUGGUACGUGUACCAGGUUGAUAGUAUUGUAAGAAUAAGCAUCGGCUAACUUCGUGCCAGCAGCCGCGGUAAU